UACGGAAGGCAGCAGUGGGGAAUAUUGCACAAUGGGCGAAAGCCUGAUGCAGCUAUGCCGCGUGUAUGAAGAAGGCCUUAGGGUUGUAAAGUACUUUCAUCGGGGAGGAAAAACAAAACUAAUAAUUUUAUUUCUUGACGUUACCCGAAAAAGAAGCACCGGCUAACUCCGUGCCAGCAGCCGCGGUAAUACGGAGGGUGCUAGCGUUAAUCAGAAUUACUGGGCGUAAAGAGCACGUAGGUGGUUUUUUUAAGUCAGAUGUGAAAUUCCCUGGGCUUAACCUAGGAACUGCAUUUUGAAACUGAAAUACUAGAGUAUCGUAGAGGGAGGUAGAAUUCUAGGUGUAGCGGUGAAAUGCGUAGAUAUCUGGAGGAAUACCUGUGGCGAAAGCGGCCUCCUAAACGAAUACUGACACUGAGGUGCGAAAGCGUGGGGAGCAAACAGGGAUUAGAUACC
rnacentral:rRNA from 1 species